rnacentral:lncRNA from 1 species
GAAUCAGCGUUGCUUAACAAAUCUGAUCGUUUGGGAUUAUUUUGUUCUUACUAAUAGCGUUGCUAUAUGGUUGGCUUAAAAACGACGUCGUCUGCAAUACUGUGGGUUCCUACGCUAUUGUUGAAAGGAAGUUGGCCGGAAUCCAGGAAAGAUCCGGCGGCGCUUCUUAUUGAGUGGGGUUGUUUUACAACGGUAAAGAUCUUGAUAUCAAUCAGUCAUUUGCUUAAAUGUAACACAUUUUGCUUUUAAUUUCAAUAUAAAAAUAGGAUUUCUAUCAAUUAAUUUUGAGAUCGCUAUAUUUCUGCUUGAAUCUGUUUCACAUUGCCAAAAAAAAAUUUGACCUUUUUUGUAUGAACAAUCCGUAUAUAUUCCUCCGCCUUUGACCUCUCAUUUCUCCUGCAGAAGCUUGUCAGAAUCUAACGAAGAAGAGCUAAGAUCAACCCGUUCCGAAUGAAGCAACGUUCGAAACCAUCGAGCAGAGGCUUUAGGAACCCUUGUUAGGUUGUUCUUAUAGUCCACAUAGUAUAUCCCGAACCGGACAGUGUAACCAGAGUUCCACUCCCAGUUGUCUAGCAAUGACCACACGAAGUACCCUCUCACAUCACAACCAUCCUUCCUGCAAUACCCCAACCCAAUCAGUUUAUAACUUCAUUUUCUCAGGUUUGUAAAGUCUUAUUAUUACCUAAUGGCAGCUGAUAAGUUGGAGAGGUAGUCUCUGUGGAAGCUAAUCCUCUUGUCAUCUUGU